UACGUAGGAUGCAAGCGUUGUCCGGAAUUAUUGGGCGUAAAGAGCGCGCAGGCGGUAUGACAAGUCAGAUGUGAAAGAGGCCGGCUUAACCGGCAAGGGUCAUUUGAAACUGUCAGACUAGAGUGCAGCAGAGGAUAGUGGAAUUCCCGGUGGAGCGGUGAAAUGCGUAGAGAUCGGAAAGAACACCAACGGCGAAAGCACUCUGCUGGGCCGACACUGACACUGAGAGACGAAAGCUAGGGGAGCGAAUGGG
rnacentral:rRNA from 1 species